AUACCAUUGGGCUGAUGGGGUGGUGCUUGCUAUAACAGUGCACAACAAAAAAGAAACAUGUAUUUUCCUCUCAUCUUUGUUUCUGAUCCCAUCUGAUCUGUGAGGAUAAACAAAGGUUUAGACUUGCUCAGUAUUCAUGGAUCUUAGCUUGCUGUGUGAAGUGGGCUUUAACAGAAACCAAGUGCCCCGUGUGAGAGCCCUUGAGGGGCUGUGCUCUGCAGUCCUGGCCGCGAGAGCAGUCUCAGCACGGCAGGGUGGUGGUGCACAGGGAGCCCAGACCUGCCUGCCUUCUCCAGGCGCCCUCGCCGGCAGCCAGCCCUAGAUACACUUUCUCUUUCGGAAUGUUUUUGUGUAGUGGAAGUGUUAGCUUUACUUCUAAGUAGUUUGUUAUUCUUUUUGUAAAUAAAACUUUAUCUAGUGGUUUCAGUUUGAAGGAUCUUUCUGUACAUGAUAUGCACAGAAAAGGCAUUAGGUCUGCCUUCCCAUGGCUCUGCUGGCUUUACAAAUAUGAAAGGCAAACAAUUAAAUGAAGUCAAUGUGACUCUAAAUGGAUAGUGACCUGAUCAGGUAAAUGAAGAGGGCUCAGUUUUAAAAUAGAUUUCAUUUUGCUGUCAUAUGCAGAUGCUUUCUUAGUGCUGAACCAUUUCUGGCCUUUGUAGAAGGGGCCAAUUUUGAGGCACAUUACACUGUGGAUGGGAAAGUGGAUUGUCCAUUAACUGCAUAAAGUACAGAGCAUAUGUGCAAUUCAUGUUUCCAUGGGUUUACAGGUCUGCAUCAACAAACUUGACCAGAUUGUGUGCCAUGAGAAAACUGAAAUCUGCACUAAGGAGCAGUUUUUAGACCUGGUGUCACUGGAGAUGUGAUGAAAUCUGUAUCUUGUCCUUGGAUCUCCUGCUGAAUGAGCUGUGGAGUGGCUGCACAAGAGAAGCUGGGUCACCUCCCCCUGGUUUUUUUUCCUCAGAAAAUUGAAUGUUGAGUUUUCAUUUUACUACAGAAAAGUGCUCUAUCAGAUACCACAAUGUUAAUCUCCAUAUUUUCUUCAAUGCCCCAAUUGCUACAGUGUGAGGAAUGUCUCAGGCUUUCUAUUUGCAGACUGUUUUCGUGGUGACAGCUUCUGCUCAGACCUUCUAGACACGGCUCUGUGUUCCUGAGGCCAUCAGUUCAGGUUCUGUCCUCCUUCAGAUCCUUCCAAAACCAGAUGGGAAGAUUUGUUCUUUCCAUUGUUUCAGAGAGCCUUAAAUAGGAGUGAGUGUAGUUAUGAUCCUUCACAGGCGCUCUUGAGGCUGGAUUGGGGGUGGUUAGGGGUGUUUAAAAACAGCCAUCCAUUCCUAGCUGUUCCAGGACAAGAAUGGCACAGGGAGAUUUAUGUUUUCUCUAACAUGUGUAUGGGGUUUCCAAUCAGUACUAAGACUAUAUUGUUCUGAAUGAGCAGUUGAACUUAGUGAAUAAUUUAAGUCAGGUUUGGGAAAUAAAUCUGGUGCAUCAAACAGUAUGUUUCUAUUUCAUUAAGGUUUUAAAAGAAUCUGUGUGUUGACUUUGCCUUUCACCAAAAAUGUAGGUACAUAAUGCAGGAAACAAGAAUGGAUUGAGACCAGAAGACACUACAUCCAAGUGGAAUAGAUAAACAAUGAAAACAUAGUUUGAAAAGCCAUCAUUAACUAAAAAGGCUGAUGUAUAGAUGUUUUGCAAAAUAGUUUUUAUUACAAUUAACAAUUUUAUUAAAUUUUGGUAUUUGCUAUUGAUUCAUCUAGAUUUAUGAUUACAAAAAAUACAAUGACCCAAAUAUCUUGUGCUUUGAUUCUUUUUCCUGCUAAGAUCAAGUUCACUUUGUAUCACAGUGCCUGUUUUUCUCAUGGUACCACUGCCAAAUGACAUUACAAUCUUAGCCAUGUUCUUUUAAUGUAAUUUUGCAUUUUAAAUUUCAAAGGAAAAGUCAUAGUUAAGGUUGCUUUUACAGUUUUAACUUGGCUUUUGUGGGUAUGUCCAUCCUGAUAAGAGUGUUUAAUUACACAGGAGUGGCCAUUUUUUACCCAGUCUGUGGGUACCUCCAGUCCUGUAUGCAUGGGGAAUAGCUACUGGAAACCUUUCCUGCUACAUGUUCUUAGGUCUCACUUAUUGCUGGCUAGCCAAGUCUUGUUAUGGAGACAAAAUUAUUAAUUCCAUUGGGUCUCUCCAGUGGUGUUUAUCACUAUUGUUUCAUGUGUCUCUCAAAAAAGAAUCAAUGUCUUCUCACAAGAGAGGUCGGUACUCUUAUCUUUCUAUAAAGAGAAAUAGAGAUAAAUUAUUGUCAUGGAAGUUUGUUAAUUUUGAGCAUCCAAUUUGAAUUGUCUACAACUUAGUUUUUGGGUCAAUUACAAUACUACUAAAUCCACCAACUUCUGUGCAGUUCUUCCUUUGGACAGCUUCUCCUCCUUGGCUGGAGUCAGCAAGGGGGACACAGAGAAAUAAAGUCUCUGCUCUGUGACCUCUGGAGAUGUCGGAUAAUGGCCCAGAAUUUCAAUUACUGAGGAAAUGUAAACCCAGUAUGGACUUUUGUUAUUCUGAACCUUGAAUUCUCUCCUGCAAGCAUAAAGUGUACACCUUGUGAAGGUGACAGAUACCACCUUUCCAAUGGGAGAAAUAAUUACUUUUCUUCUAUCCAGUACACUAUAGGUUACAAUUCCCACCUAGGCUGAGACAUGAGUUUCCAUUUUUGUUCAUUCUGAGGUUUUUGAAUCAGUGAUAUAUCAGCAGAUUCUGUUGGCGAUGGAACAUUUUACUAAGUCCCAUUAAAAUGGUUACAAUUUUAUGGAUAAGUGUGUUCUUUUGGUUUGGGGGUUUUUUAAUGGGGUUUUGAUGGGUUGGGGUUAAACUAAUUUGAGAGUGAGAGAGGAUGCCAUGGGGUCUUUCUCUUAAAAAUCAGAACAUUCAUAUGGUGACAUUAAUAUUUCACUGUAAUGUGGCCCUGUAUAUCGGAAGUUUGUUAACUGGAGCAAAAUAUCUGACCAAUGCUGUUGACUGUGUCUCCCUGUGCUCUGUCUUCUCCAACACCAUAGAAGAAUUCAGUUUCAAGUCCAAAUACAGACAGAAAAAGCAGCAUGAAUCAGAAAUAAAACAGUGAAACUUCAGACGGUUUUACUAAAGCCCCAAAUAUGUGAAAACAUAAUUUUAUGAUGCGACUUUUUGGUGAUCAUUUGGUUCUCUCCUGUUUUAAUUUGUUUAAAUUGAUGAAACAAAACUGAGA